CCCCGGGAUGCCACAUCCUCCUGAUGCGAUUCUAGGAAAGCUUCCAAGCGCCAAUUAGCAGUCCGGCGGCGGCGCAGAAAGAUAUUUUGAUCCAUGAAUAUUCUGAAAGAGAAUAAAUACGAGGAAAAUGAGCGCAAAAGGGGAAGUGAGCAAUCGCGUUGUAAACCGUGGUAGAUGAUUAACGUUCCUGCCUGUGGUUUUUAUAAAACCCCCCACCCCCCCCUCCCUACUUGUACGAGGCAUUUGAAUAAAAAUUAAGAGCUUCCCCAGCUGCCAGACGUUGUCGGGCUCCGUGGGAUGGGGUCGGUGGAGGCGCAGCCGCGGUGGCUCGACUCUCCUCCCCGGCAGGUGCCGGCCGCUCUCCUCUGCCCGGUUCAUGAUCUUCCCGGUGAAGGCCGAUGGGUCGGACGGCUCACGGAUGCUCAGNNNNNNNNNNNNNNNNNNNNNNNNNNNNNNNNNNNNNNNNNNNNNNNNNNAGGGGACACCUGUGCACAGUUUGGGGGGGGCUCCUCGGUCCCUGCACCCCUCUCAGGGCCAGACCUUGGGGCGAUCUCUCCCUCUUCCCCCUCUGGCUUGCAGGAAGCAGGAGGAUGGGGAAGGCCUUCUAGCCGGCCUCACCAUGUUCGGCAGGAAGAAGAAACGCAUCGAAAUCUCUGCCCCCUCCAACUUCGAGCACCGAGUCCACACCGGCUACGACCAACAAGAGCAAAAAUUCACGGGGCUGCCGCGGCAAUGGCAGGGCAUCAUCGAGGACUCGGCCAAGCGCCCCAAGCCGCUGGUGGACCCCGUCUGCAUCACCACCAUUCAGCACAGCUCCCAGAAGGUAGGCAGCUCUGCCAGCGUGGCCACUGGCCCGCUCAGGGUGGGCCGGUGAUGUGGCUUUUGGGGCCGAAAAGCCAGGUUGGGGAUCGCCCGGGCUCCGGUGAGGCGGCGGUUCGGUCUCUCUCUGACGGGAGCGGCGCGUCCCCCACGGCCGCUCGGCUGCGUGAGAUGGGGACCACCCCACCACCGCCCGCACGAUGGGAAAACCUCUCCCGCAUCCUCCCGGCAGCUGGAGAAAAAAAAAAAAAAACAAACCAAAAAAAAAAAAACCACGCGGCAAGAAGACGCCAAGGAAACGGUGUCUUUUCCUUCCCAUCUCAUCCCUUCCCCAUCCCUGUGUUUCCCCAAGCCGCCAUUAUGUCGUUUUUUUAGUCUUGGCUUGUCUGCUCCCCUCAAAUCGAGGCCAUUCCUCCACCUUCCCCUUCGUUUGAGGUCCCGGCGCUGGCGUUCCUGAGUAGCCGGUGGCUUCGCCGCCUCGGCUGGUUUCCCUCGGACAAUGGGGCAGCUCCAGCGGCCGUGAGUAACGCCGGCUGCGGCCCUUCCGAGCGAAGCCGCCGGCGCCGUUCUGCUGACCCAAAAAGAUGCUGAAACCCCCUCGGCGCUGCCGUAGCCCCGCAGCGGCGGCGCCCGACCGGGCUUUGAUGCGGAGGCGCAGGCUCGAGGAAAUAACCCGCUCCUCGAGGCAGUGAGAGGAGGAGGAGGAGGAGGAAGAGGAGGAGGGGAUAUAAAUAGCCGAGGACGCUGCUCGCGCUCGCUUCCCCUGUGCGGAGAUGCUUGCUGCGGAGGAAGGCAUCCUCCUCCUCUUCCUCCUCCUCCUCCUCCUCGAGGCUGAGGCUGGGGGUGGCUCCCGCUGUCCCCUCGCCUCUUGCUGCGUGGUUGAGCCCUCAGAGCCUCGAACCCACGAGGGCUCAUAUCCCAGUUUGAUACUGGGAGCCAGGGAAACCCCACCCUGCGCAGCCCACAGCUCCCC
rnacentral:lncRNA from 1 species